rnacentral:rRNA from 1 species
UGGGGAAUAUUGCACAAUGGGCGCAAGCCUGAUGCAGCCAUGCCGCGUGUGUGAAGAAGGCCUUCGGGUCGUAAAGCUCUGUUGUUGGUGAAGAAGGAUAGAGGCAGUAACUGGUCUUUAUUUGACGGUAAUCAACCAGAAAGUCACGGCUAACUACGUGCCAGCAGCCGCGGUAAUACGUAGGUGGCAAGCGUUGUCCGGAUUUAUUGGGCGUAAAGCGAGCGCAGGCGGAAUGAUAAGUCUGAUGUGAAAGCCCACGGCUCAACCGUGGAACUGCAUCGGAAACUGUCAUUCUUGAGUGCAGAAGAGGAGAGUGGAACUCCAUGUGUAGCGGUGGAAUGCGUAGAUAUAUGGAAGAACACCAGUGGCGAAGGCGGCUCUCUGGUCUGCAACUGACGCUGAGGCUCGAAAGCAUGGGUAGCGAACAGGAUUAGAUACCCUGGUAGUCCAUGCCGUAAACGAUGAGCGCUAGGUGUUGGGGACUUUCCGGUCCUCAGUGCCGCAGUAAACGCAUUAAGCGCUCCCGCCUGGGGAGUACGACCG